rnacentral:rRNA from 1 species
UGGGGAAUAUUGGACAAUGGGCGAAAGCCUGAUCCAGCCAUGCCGCGUGAGUGAUGAAGGCCCUAGGGUUGUAAAGCUCUUUCACCGGUGAAGAUAAUGACGGUAACCGGAGAAGAAGCCCCGGCUAACUUCGUGCCAGCAGCCGCGGUAAUACGAAGGGGGCUAGCGUUGUUCGGAAUUACUGGGCGUAAAGCGCACGUAGGCGGAUUGUUAAGUCGGGGGUGAAAUCCCGGGGCUCAACCCCGGAACUGCCUUCGAUACUGGCAAUCUAGAGUCCGGAAGAGGUGAGUGGAAUUCCGAGUGUAGAGGUGAAAUUCGUAGAUAUUCGGAGGAACACCAGUGGCGAAGGCGGCUCACUGGUCCGGUACUGACGCUGAGGUGCGAAAGCGUGGGGAGCAAACA